rnacentral:rRNA from 1 species
CCUACGGGAGGCAGCAGUGAGGAAUAUUGGUCAAUGGACGAGAGUCUGAACCAGCCAAGUAGCGUGAAGGAUGACUGCCCUAUGGGUUGUAAACUUCUUUUAUAUGGGAAUAAAAUGUUCCACGUGUGGGAUUUUGUAUGUACCAUAUGAAUAAGGAUCGGCUAACUCCGUGCCAGCAGCCGCGGUAAUACGGAGGAUCCGAGCGUUAUCCGGAUUUAUUGGGUUUAACGGGAGCGUAGGUGGCUUGUUAAGUCAGUUGUGAAAGUUUGCGGCUCAACCGUAAAAUUGCAGUUGCAACUGGCAGUCUUGAGUACAGUAGCGGUGGGCGGAAUUCGUUGUGUAGCGGUUACAUGCUUCGAUAUCACG